rnacentral:rRNA from 1 species
ACUGAGGAUACCUUGUUUACGACUUCACCCCAAUCAUCUGUCCCACCUUAGGNGGNUGGCUCCUUACGGNUACCCCACCGACUUUGGGUGUUACAAACUUUCGUGGUGUGACGGGCGGUGUGUACAAGACCCGGGAACGUAUUCACCGCGGCAUGCUGAUCCACGAUUACUAGNGAUNCCAGCU